UAUGUGCCACAUUUUCUUUACCCAGUCUAUCAUCGAUGGGCAUUUGCGUUGGUUCCAAGUCUUUGCUAUUGAAAAUAGUGAUGCAAUAAACAUACAUGUGCAUGUGUCUUUACAGUAGAAUGAUUUAUAAGAGAGACUUUUAAUAGAAAUUAUUGCUAGUUUGAAGGAAUUAAAAUGUUUAAUUAUCUUGUGUGCUUUACCUGCACUACAGGUGAUUAUUGUGCCAAUAUCCGUAAUAACCCUGUAUCCAGAAGAGAAUUGUACCUGUGAAUGAAAUGCAUCCGUUCCAAGUAGACACAGCCUUUUGAAAUAUCUACACACAGGUCUACAAGGUCAACCAAGGAAAACAACUCAGAAAUGCGGGUUUGGCUACACAGUUUUCUCAAGACAUCAAACCAACAGAGUGCUGUUGACUCUUGCUCCCACUGGAUCCCCUGAUGGAUGCAGUCAAGUCCAUUUCCACAGGACAAUUCAACCAAGCUGAUAUCCCAAGGAAAUCUCAAGCAGAACAUUCCUGGAUCCAAUGCUAACUGCUCCGGAACCUGCCCAGGCCCCACUAUGUUCCUGUUGUGUAAUUCGUAGAUGGAUAUUGUUGAAAUAAUCUUAAUAGUAAAAAAUGCAAUGGAGAAUGGAUAUCUAUAUUUAUUAAGCUCUUACCACCUGCCAAAUCCUGUAUUAGCUUUACAUAAAUUACUAUCAUUUACCAACAUUUGUAAAAGUGACUGAAUGGAGAUUUGAUGAAACUGUAGUGAAAAGUCCAGAUUAAGUCCCAGCCCAGCCACUUAGUAACUAUUUUAUUUGGGCAACUACUAGGCUUUCAUUUUCUUUCUUGCAUAAUCAAGAUAAUAAGACUUUCCUACCCACCUCAGAGCUCUGUGAGGAUCAAAUGAAAUGAUGUUUCUGACACAUGAUAGGUAUGUAGUAAAUAGUUAAUAAAGGAGUGAUACAUAAAAAUGUGUUUUGUACACUUUAAGGUGAUACACACAUGUAAUGAUAUGGCUAGUAUCUUUUUUAAAAUAUCUUUUCCCCAAAACAUUAAAUUUAGAUAUCAGUUAUUCACCUACAGAAGAUUCUGAGUUCCCAUCUAUGAGAACAGUCUGCCUUCCAAGAAAACUGUCUCUGCCCUUAAAUGCCCAUUUUCCUUAUAAAGGAUUUUGCAAAUUACCUGAAAUAUGCAUCUGCAUCUUCUACAUCACUACAAUCAAAUGAAAUGGCUGUUAAGAAAUCUUUGAAAUAUUCUUUUGGAAUAAAUUAUGCAUAUUUAUGUUAAUGACGCUAUUCUAAUCUCCAAAAAGUCAUUGAAAGGGUAUUGAAUCUAAACACAUCUAUAAAACUGAAAGUUAUUUUUAAAUAUCAACUAUCCAUUCCAGAUCAUGAAAAGUGAGAUUCUGCUUUUUUAAGAAAAAAGACAGAUUUUAACCCCUGUACCUGUUUCAGGUGCUCGAAGUGACAGAGAUGUUUUG
rnacentral:lncRNA from 10 species